GCCAUUUUUAUAUAUACUUUUCCUUCCACGUGCAUAUACGGAUGUCGUUCACUUUUAUCAAAAACUCAAAGGAAAUGUGACAAAUAGUGGAAGGCGUGACCAGUUGGUUAAAUUGAAUUUAAUAGUGCCAUGUGCACAUGAGACACCUCGGGACAGCAUGUGAGGUCUUUGAGACUCCUCGGGCCAUGAGCCCUCAAGAGCAGUCAUUAUGCAUUACACACACACAAAGAAGUGCGAGCAUGUUAUAGUAUGUGACACUUCUGAUGUUAGAGGCAAGUCCGAUGCCAUGAUGUCUGGUUUCUUAUAGUUGAGAAAACGAAAAAGUUUUUACCGGCCGGAUUGAGGUUAUGUGGAAUUCUGGUUGCAUCGAGCACAUGGACAUUCCUCAGAAAGAAUAUCUAAGGCAAACGGCACUUGAACUAUCAAGAUUGACUAGAGUUGUUAACUUUAACAUUAUUUAAAAGGUUGACGACCAGAGACGUCUAUUCAAACAAUUUGUUGAAUAGCUUGCCUACACUUUGAAAUAAAUAAAAUAAUGCUUAUACUUGUA